GUAUAAACUAGAAAACUGUCAUGGGGUAUGAUCGAAUGUUUGUGUACUCAUUUUUCGUGGAUAUGAAGAUAUGCAACAUUUGAUCAUUCUCCAUGAUAGUAUUCUAGUUCGAUAUAU